GUGAGCCAGGAAAAGGAAGAAAUGUUUCUAAGAGCACUAGGGAUAGGAACAUGAAGGAAAGCAUUAUUGUAUAUGGAGAUUUGGUUUAAUGUUUUCCUGAUGCCUCCUAUUCCUAAGGCUCUUAGGUUCUCCUUCCCUUUCCUUAUGGCU
rnacentral:pre_miRNA from 2 species